rnacentral:lncRNA from 1 species
GGAGAGGAGAGAGGAUAGCUAUUUCUAAGGACUUCCCCUCAGUGACUUGGCCCCUCCCACAGUCUGACGCUUCCACCAUCGGGGGAGCAAGUAUUCAAAGCAUUGUAGUUUCCCUUGUUCUUAGUCGGGUCAAAGGUCACUAGGAGAGAGGUCACCCAUUGGGCACAUGAGACAGUUUUUUUGUUAGUAUGACGAAAAACCAGACAAAAGGCAAAUUGAGGGGAGAAGGAUUUAUUUCAGCUCACAUAUUGAGGGUAUGGUCCAUCAUGGCAGCAAGGCAGGACAGCAGAAGUGACUCUGAGAUCUGACACUUCACCUUCUGGUAACCCGAUGGAACUAGGCGCAGGUAAAGGCGAACGCUGGGGCCCAACUGGUGCUCAACUUAUAUUCAGGGUGCCGCGAGCGCUGCAGGUUACCGUGCA